rnacentral:rRNA from 1 species
CGUAGGUGGUCAAUUAAGUCAGAUGUGAAAGCCCCGGGCUCAACCUGGGAUGGUCAUUUGAAACUGGUUGACUAGAGUUUUGUAGAGGGUGGUAGAAUUUCAGGUGUAGCGGUGAAAUGCGUAGAGAUCUGAAGGAAUACCAGUGGCGAAGGCGGCCACCUGGACAGAGACUGACACUGAGGCGCGAAGGCGUGGGGAGCAAGCG